rnacentral:rRNA from 1 species
UACGUAGGGUGCAAGCGUUGUCCGGAAUUAUUGGGCGUAAAGGGCUCGUAGGCGGUCCGUCACGUCGGCUGUGAAAACCCAGGGCUCAACCCUGGGCCUGCAGUCGAUACGGGCGGACUAGAGUUCGGCAGGGGAGACUGGAAUUCCUGGUGUAGCGGUGAAAUGCGCAGAUAUCAGGAGGAACACCGGUGGCGAAGGCGGGUCUCUGGGCCGAUAUUGACGCUGAGGAGCGAAAGCGUGGGGAGCGAACAGG